rnacentral:rRNA from 1 species
UACGUAGGUGGCAAGCGUUGUCCGGAUUUAUUGGGUUUAAAGGGUGCGUAGGCGGCUCUGUAAGUCAGUGGUGAAAUAUGGCAGCUCAACUGUCAGGGUGCCAUUGAUACUGCAGAGCUUGAGUACAGAUGAGGUAGGCGGAAUUGACGGUGUAGCGGUGAAAUGCUUAGAUAUCGUCAAGAACACCGAUAGCGAAGGCAGCUUACUGGGCUGUAACUGACGCUGAGGCACGAAAGUGUGGGGAUCAAACAGG